rnacentral:lncRNA from 1 species
AAUGGGCGCGCAUCUUAGGAGCGUGUGAUCUGCCAGCUCAAUUAAUGAGCUCAGAUCUAACGCUCCAUGUUUUUUUGCAUUUCUUAUUUCUGAUUUUUUUUUCUUUAAUUCCAAUUAUUUUCAAAAAAUCAUAUCUCUCUCAUUUUUUAUCCAAAAAUUAUGGGACCAAUUGCAUUAUUUCCCAAAUAAAUUCUAGUUUCUAUUUCUGAUUUUUAAUAUUUUUUAUUUUGUCAUUUGAUAUUUUUUGUGAAUUUUCUCUUUUCUGGUUAUUUUUAAUUCAUUUUA